rnacentral:misc_RNA from 1 species
CUUCUCAUCACAAUGGAAAGAUAUAAAGAGGCGUUAUUACCCUUGUCCUGCCAGUGUGUCGAGUGCCUGUCCUGGGAAUACUUCUAGAUAUUUGUAUACAUACAAAGUAGUGACAAAACAUAUUGUUUUCCUGCCGCCAAGACGAACAACAAGAAACCUAGCGUAGGAUUUACAGGUACAACGAAGGCAAGCAAUGAUGGCAGAUUACACAGGCAUUUGGUGGCGGGUGAUGGCACUGAUCCUGGCACUGUCAGUUAUGACCUCCGCCCAAAGGACCAAGAGCUGCGACGUGCAGGGAUCCGUCGCCGCCAGUAACAAGGUGGACGUGCACUGUGACUGUAUGCAGCGGCUGACUCAGAUGAACUUGGCCAUCGCUCACCUGACCAUCAACCAGACGUCUUGUUCUAACUCUGGGCUAGAGCUGAGGUGGCCUGACCUGGAGGCUCUGGUGUCUCCUGACACCUUCACCGUCGUCGGCGCCCACAUCUACUUCUCCCAAAGCCAACCCAACACUACGUGGAACUCCAGCAUCUCUAGACUUUAUUUCAUCGAUUCGACAUUCGAAAUGCUGCCAGCUCACGCCUUUAGAGGGAUGGGACUGCUUGAGGAGGUCAAGUUCUUCGGUGGGUCCAUCGUUACAAUCAGGUCAAAUGCUUUUAGUGGACUACAGAAACUUAAGCUUAUUGAGAUUGCUAACAGUACCGUUGAGACGAUCGAACGUGAGGCCUUUAACAAUCUGGAGUCGCUCGAGGACCUGGCCUUCGUGCACACCAGCAUAGGCAUCAUCGAGAGCGAGGCUGUGUCACUGCUAAAGCAAAACAAAGCGGAGGUGCGCUGUGUAACCCUCGGCACGCGUCCCUCUGGCUCUGGCAGCGUCAUCCAGGACCUCAUGGGCCGUCAACUGACCUCCACGGGUAACAUAUCUCUCCCCGAGUACGGCUCGCGCCUCCUACUCCUUAAGAACAAUAUCAAGACCUUAAAAUCCCGCGCUAUAACCUCCGAGACUCUUGGUUUCCUCAUUGUUGGUGGGAAUCACAUCGAGAACGUAGAGUCUCUGGCAUUUUCCAUGGAGCUGUACAACGAGUGUGAGAUCAGUGCUGCGCUUUUUGUCGGUAAUACUUUCAAUUAUCUGGGGAACUCCGCCCUGGCAGGCUUGAAGGGACGUGAUGGGGUAUCUUACCAGACCUUCAUCGCCCUAGCCCAAAAUACUUUCUUGAAUGUGACUCAACAAGGGUUCCUCUUGUCUCAGAACCUCGUAAUUUUCACUGUCGACGAAAAUAAGUUCCGUUGCGUCUGUGAUGGUUUCAACUGGAUCCUUAGCAACCCCGACUCUCAGAACCAACAAGAAUUAGAAAAAGAAUUAGUUUUAAAGGCAACAUGUAUAGAUGGCACUUACCUCAUCUCCUACACUUCGUCCUGCACAGACCACGGAACGGUCACCACUCCAAGCGCUCGCCCACCAGUGAUGGAAACCAGCGGUGCCUCAACUAUGUCCUUCUUCAGUGUCAGCACCAGUGUCAUCACCUUCGUCUUGGCCAGGACACUUAACUGAGGCCGCUGUCACACUUACUCUCAGGUACUUCUCGCGCCUCUACCAAUCAGAAGCCUCGUGUUAUGACGCCAGAAUCCGGCGGCCGGACCACAACAUUGAACCACGCCCUCCUUAUUUAUAAGUGAUAUGUAAAAGCGACUAAUAAUAUUUAUAAUGUUGAUUUAUUUAUUUAUACUCUGAUAUUUAUAUUCUUAAUAAAAGUAUGAAAAAAUA